rnacentral:tmRNA from 1 species
GGGGCUGCACUGGUUUCGACGUGGGUUCGGACACGCAGCAGGGCAUGUCGAGGUUCUGUCACCUCGUAAAACCGCAGAAAAAAAACUAACUGCAAACGACGAACGUUUCGCACUCGCCGCUUAAUUGCCGGUGAGCUUUGCAACAGCAGGCCUAUGGGCUGGGCAAGGGUUCAGACGGCGCAAGCCGCGAGAGUCCAGGCUGCAAAGAUAAUUCAAUAGGCUGGCUGGGCGUCGGGUAACUUGGCGCACAGCGAGAUUCAAGGUUGCUGGCGUUCUGUAUAGCGUGCCGCUGCGCGAUACAGGAAGCGAGACUCAAAUCAGAUGGCUACACAUGUAGAACUGCGCGAAGAAGGCUUGCGGACGGGGGUUCAAUUCCCCCCAGCUCCACCA